rnacentral:rRNA from 1 species
AACCGAGAUUCCCCCAGUAGCGGCGAGCGAACGGGGAGCAGCCCAGAGUCUGAAUCAGCUUGUGUGUUAGUGGAACGGUCUGGAAAGUCCGACGGUACAGGGUGAUAGUCCCGUACACCAAAAUGCUCAGGUUGUGAACUCGAAGAGUAGGGCGGGACACGUGGUAUCCUGUCUGAAUAUGGGGGGACCAUCCUCCAAGGCUAAAUACUCCUGACUGACCGAUAGUGAACCAGUACCGUGAGGGAAAGGCGAAUAGAACCCCGGCGAGGGGAGUGAAAAAGAACCUGAAACCGUGUACGUACAAGCAGUGGGAGCACCU